ensembl:misc_RNA 7SK 7SK RNA
GGAUGUGAGGGCGAUCUGGCUGUGACAUCCAUCACCCCAUUGAUCGCCAAGGUUGUUUGGCUGAUCUGGCUGGCUAGGCGGGUGUCUCCAUCAUCCCUCACCGUCCAAUGUGUGUCGCUCCCGAAGCUGUGAGCUGGGUCAAAGAGGAGGGCCUUCCCGGAAUAGAGACAGACCAGUGGAGGGUGUGCAAGUAGCUGUGCUCCCCUGCUAGAAUCUCCAAACAAGCUCUCAAAACAGUAGUAGCCAGGCCACAAUGAAGAAAAUUUUGAAGGAAGUAGCAAAAGUGAAUUCGGAGGAAGUU